rnacentral:rRNA from 1 species
UACGUAGGGUGCAAGCGUUGUCCGGAAUUAUUGGGCGUAAAGAGCUCGUAGGCGGUCUGUCGCGUCUGCUGUGAAAACUCGGGGCUUAACCCCGGGCCUGCAGUGGGUACGGGCAGACUAGAGUGUGGUAGGGGAGAUCGGAAUUCCUGGUGUAGCGGUGAAAUGCGCAGAUAUCAGGAGGAACACCGGUGGCGAAGGCGGAUCUCUGGGCCAUUACUGACGCUGAGGAGCGAAAGCGUGGGGAGCAAACAGG